GACUAUUGCAAUCGCACGUAAAUCCCGUUUCUUCAUAAAACUUUAUGGUCCUCUAUCCAUCCAUCCAUUUACUCCUCCAGAACAACCAUUCGAAGUACCUAGUGGCUUUAUCGCACUUUAGUUCUCGCGCGAAUCGUCCGCCCUCUGCCGACAGUAAUAAAUCAUCUUCAGUCUCGGUCGACCGUUGCUUCUCAGCACUAAGAUCGCGUUCCCAAUAGCGCAUCAUCCAGGUUCAACCAACGACACGGAUCGAUUAAGGUUCGUUCCUGCUCCGGGGCAACUUGGAAACUCGUGGUCUAUGAGAGUAUGAGUACUUCUUCUUGGCGCGGCAGAUGUGGCAUUGAAAUAGGAACCAGAUUUUGAUCCCCGGCCAUAAAACAUGAACCCUUUGUGAAAUGGUUGUCUGCUUUUUUCUGACGGUGCCCUACCGAAUGUAAGCAAGUACUUGACUUUGACGCGGUCGCCAGAUCUGCCAAAGGGAGGAAAACGAUAACAUCCGCUCCAUAGAGUCUUCUGCUCGCAGACACUCGUUGAUGAUGACGAACAUGAUGAGAAAUUGGCGUGUCGGACAGAAAAGAAGCUUCAAAUGGCGGACCUUAUCGGAGAAUUCUAGCGAAUAAAGGCCCGGAACCUGCAGCACUUCGGAGGAGCUAGGAUCAAAUUACCUGCCCCAAACCUGUGCGGAUGAAUCGACGAAGAAUGGAUCACACAGCCAAGGAGAGAUUGAAAAGUUAAGACGUGAGGUCGUCAAUGUCAACCGUGGUUGACCUCCGUGUCGUUCGUCUUUCAGCCUUCAUCCGACUUCCCGAUAAGAACAAAAAAAAAAAAGAGAAUUAUAACAACUGAUGUUAUUUUGUAUCAAAAAAGUUAACAAAGUGUAUUUAAACAGAAAAAAACUGAUAAAGGAUAAAAAAGUUGAAAUUGAAGGGAAUUCGAUGGCUUAUCGACAGGUGGAAAUCGUUCCUAGACCCUAGAGGUAGUUCCUCCAAUAUUGAAGCAUUUCCUCAAAGAUUUCUUAGUUUUCCAAAACUGCUCCAUUCAGUUUGUUUUUUUUUUAAUCUGUUAAUGCAACAAAUUACUCAAGUUUUAUGGGUCUUCAAUUAACAUAAUUUGGCGAUGAAAAUGCGUUGGCUCGAUGUCGAGUUGAAAUCGG